GAAAUGCGAUAAGUAGUGUGAAUUGCAGAAUUCCGUGAAUCAUCGAAUCUUUGAACGCACAUUGCGCCCUCUGGUAUUCCGGGGGGCAUGCCUGUCCGAGCGUCAUUGCAACCCUCAAGCGCGGCUUGUGUGUUGGGUCGUCGUCCCCCGUGGACGGGCCCGAAAAGCAGUGGCGGCUCCCGACGCAGGUGCCUGAGCGAAUGGGACAACCUUUCGGCUCAAGAGGCCCGGUCGGCGCCGGUCGAAAAUCUCGUUUAUUCAACCAGGUUGACCUCGGAUCAGGUAGGAGUACCCGCUGAACUUAA
rnacentral:misc_RNA from 1 species